GAGCCGCCAUGCCCGCCCUGAGGAGAGGGCGGUGAGGAGGCGGCGGCCGGAGUUCGAGGCCUGAGGGCGGCCGUGAGGAAACCAUUUUUUCAAAAAAAUGAGAAAUGUGUGGCUAAUUCUUACUGCGUAUCAAAGAAAAACAUUCCACUUCAUUUAUGUGAGCCUGCAAGAAACAAAAGUAUCUCUGAACACUUCAUUGGCAAGAUUACAUCUAAAUAAGUGAUUUUCUUGCAAGCAGAGAAGAAUGAUGGCCUUAGAUGACUUCGUGGACAUGAGUUCUGGAUUUGUUACGAGCUUGAAGCGGGGGAUUUUGGAAUCAGAACGGCAAAGGGGUAUUUUAUAGGGGAAAGUAGUAUUUAAUAUUCUGUAUCUAACAGCAUCUCAUGCAUGAGAAGGAAUAUAAUGACACUCACUGGUUGGAAGGAGUUUUCUGCUAUUGCACCCGGUUCGUUCCAGGUCUCCAACAGCCAGGGACACAGCCAAACAAUCUAUUAACAUGACCUUUAGCUGCAAGGUUGGGAAGGAAAAGUUUAAUGACUGAAUUUUCUGCUGGUUAAUGUUGUUACAGUUGUUCUGAGCACUGAGAGUCAACCAGAAUUGGAAAGACUUGUGUAAGUGGGAACUGAGCUAAAGAAACAAACAGCCCAAACCCUUCAAACCCUGGACCGGCCAGGCAAAGAACACUGCUAAAAUGUUAUACUUCAGAGAACAACACAAGGCUUUUUUAGCCACGAUCAGCAAAUUAAUGAAAAAAAGAAUUUCAUGUCAGUUUUCUCCCUAAAAAUAAAUUGUAAGUGGAAGAUUUUCAUGCAUUUGGGUUCCCUUUUUCUGGAUAAUCUGCCUCUUUAGUGAAAGCACCUCCUCUUCUACUGAAAGCAGGACAACAGGGAGCAGCUCAGAAGGGACCAGGCAGCACCUCAGCGACCGCCCAGCAGAUGGCAGCACAGGCACACGGACAGACCGGGACACCUUCGC